rnacentral:lncRNA from 1 species
CAUAGAGAAAUGCUUAAAUUUGCUAAUUUAAUUAAAAAUUUGCUAAUAUAAUUAAAAAUCUAGCACAAACAUUAGUGGACAUAUUAACAAUAUUGAUCAAACUAUAAAGGAAAAAAAUUUAAAAGAAAAUUACUUCCAGAUUAUUUUGGAUUUUUUUUUUUUGAACCAGGAAUUCAAAGUUAUUAGUCACAGGGGACUAAAUCUAUAAUCUGAUUUCCAAUUCUUGCAAACUGUGUUGGGUAAUAAACUUGUAAUGAGAAAACAAACAAAUUAAACUGGGUAAAAGGUCUGGUCCUUCAAUAGAUUUUUUGUUUUAAUGAAAAAAAUCUAUUGAGUGAAACCUGAAUUUUCUUACUCUCUUAGUUUUGAAGAUACCUAAACACACGCAAUAUUGCAUCUUUUUUAGCUGUCAGGAAAAGCAUCAAUGACAAUUGAAUUUAUAUAGAAGAUAUCAAUCUAAAUGAGCUAGGACCUUUUCAAAAAGAUACAUAAGCAGAUAGAGAGCGCUUUGACUGUGGCCUUUUUUUCAGAGUUAAAACUGAAGAUAUUUGAAAGUUAUUUAAAAAAUAAUGCCUGUAAUUUUCAUUUUUAAUUAACUGCUAAAUAUCAGGAGUACUGUGAAUGAUAAUUCAUAGAUAAAAUCACUGUGAAGGUUAGACCCUAACCCUAACCAUAACCAAAGACAAACAGGAGUUUUUUUUUAUUGUUUAGCAUUAUUCAUUCCUAGACUGAACCCACUACCAGAGACAUCAAUCAAGCAAAGUGUGGGCGGUGAAUGACUGGUUAUGUGUGGGACUGAGCUGCCUACUGGAGUUAACCCCCAGCCACUCAGUCAGUCUCGUUUCAGAUUUCUGCUGGCCUAAGAUAGAAGACUGAUAGUCAGACUCUUCCUCUGGGAAAAGAAAAGAAGAAAAGAAUAAUAACCAUCUAAAAAGAAACUUAUAUAUCAAACAGUCUGUGACAUCUAUAGAAGCUGCUGAAUGUAGUUUUUAUGGAGGGAUGAUUCUGGACUUGAACUGGCACUAGGUACUGCUGGCCACCUUUAGAAGAGUAUGACUAAUUUUGAUCUCUUCACCUAACAUAUGGGGCUUUUUAACUGUGUGUUUGUAAGCAAGAUAGAUUUUUUUUUUUU